AGGACCCUGACUUUCUAUAAAUCACUAAUUUUAUUGUCGUAAAUAGAGUUCACCUCCUGGAACACCACCAGCCUGCCUUGAAAAAUGGUCUGAAGCUCUCCAAGUCCAUCAGAGAGGAAACAGAACUGAUGGAGCAGAGGAAAAUGUUCUCAAAGCAUGAGUGACCGGGGGCCUCCUGUGGGAACAGAUUAUGCCACCAGGAACAGCAGGGAUGGAGGCUAAUGCCUGUACCCACUGUGACACUCAUCUGCAGAAACCCAGGCUCCUUGCACUCCGGCAUAAUUUGGUCCAUGCCAUCUGGCAGCUCGAAAAAUGAAGAAAAGAAAAGGGAGAAGGAAGUAUGACCAUGCAGCAUGAAUGUAACUCCCAAUCUGUGUUCUGUACUCGCGCUCGCUGCACGUACCGUGAGCCAAAUUUAAACAUGUCAACAUCUCAACGAUCGCUGAGUUCUCAAGUGCUGCGUGAUGCAUCUGGCCGCUGUGCAUUGAAUACUCUUCUAUGCCGGUGACGUAAAUGUAUUUACUAAAAUAUGGCACACUGACAAAACAAGUAAAUAGUAUAUUGUGAUGUCCUUUGGUUUGUGUUGGCCUAAAUUGGCACACUCAGAAAGAAGUUGUGAUUUAAAAGAACUUGACUAUGCUUUAAAAAACAUCCAUGGGAUCAUAAUUACAGAGUUUACAAACCAUUCAGCCCACUUCCCUCAUUUUCGGUUUGAGAUGCUUAGCUCAAGAUUAGUUCUUGAUAAUGAGAGA